AAUAUUCAAAUGUGGCCAAUGCAUAAUUAUGUGUGGGUAUUCAUACCCAGCCCAAAGGUGGCUGUCACAAAGCCAGAUCAUUUUUCGGAACCUGUGUAGGAAAAAUGAUUUGGGAGUCAGUAUGAAUACAACCAUCAGGCUACAAUUAUUAUUGAAAUGAUUCACUUUCUUGAAAUACAUGCCAAUGUUUGUAUGGGAUUGGAAAUACCCAGAACUACCUGUCUUGUAAGGUUUAUAAUAACAUAAACAAAAACUGAAAGUCUGUCAUAACAAAAAAAAAGGAUAUCUGUGUGUGACAGGACAAUAAAAAUCUGAUGUGGAAAUUACUCAAGACAGAGUUUUUCAUUUGCUGCCAUAUGUGCAUAUCAUAAAUGCAUGUAUUCAGCUAAAGAUGUAUUUAAGCUGUAGUAAAAUGGGUUUACUUUCAAUGGAAUAGGAUUGUCCACUUUUGUAUCAAAAAUGAAAUUAUCUUAUCUUGGUUUUUUGAAUAUAAUUUAAUGAAAUACCAUUCUUUCUUUUUCAGAUGGUGUUAUAUCUUGUUUGCCGAACACAAUGACGACCUAUGGAUGUCAUGGAUGUUUAUUUUAACAACAUUGCAUCAACUGGCAUUUGGUGAGAGUAACUAUUAUUUUACUAACCAUAGAUGACAAUGUAGUUACUAACCUAUUGUUUGAGGUGUUGCGCAUGAAUGGUACCAAUGAGUUGGCCCUUUAGGUUUUCCACUUCGUAAUAGCAAUUUCCAAUGGCUUUUCUUGUUCUGCAUUUAAGCCAUGGUUUACAAAAUUUUGCAUUUAUUCCUUUGGCAAAAUUGCUUUGUACAAAAUUUUUCCUAUAGACUUCUUGUCCUGGUUUGUAGGUUACAAUUCUGCUUCUUCUAUCAUAUGAGCGUUUAUUACGUUCAUAAGCCUCAUGCAGAUUUUUAUUAAUAUUCUUAUGCAAAAUUUGCAUUCUGUCUGAUGCAGGUAAACAAUCCAGACUACCAUCUUCUAAUGCGUUUAGUUUUCUGAGAAUUCCAUACGCGUCUGCGUGUGUUAUCAUAUUGUAGCCUGUUAAGGCAAAAUAUGGAGAUGUACCUGUUUAGGCGUGUAACGUCGAUCGCAAGGCACACUCGAUUUUGGGUAACUUUUCAUCCCAUUUAGAUUGGUCGGAGUUUAUAUAACUUCUUAUACUGCUAAGAAUGGUUUGGUUCACUCGCUCACUUGCAUUUGCUUGUGGUGCGUGUAUUGCAGUUCGUAUAUGUUUGAUUCCAAAUAAUUUUAAUGUAUCUUUAAACAUAUCGGGUGUAAAUUGUCUUCCGUUGUCGGAAUGAAUAAAUUCUGGUACACCGAAUUUAUAAAAAAUCUCUUCUACCAAAAAUUUUAUGACUUGUGUAACCGUAGCCUUUGUCAUUGCCUUUAGUACCACAAAUUUGGUUUUAUGGUCUAAAACGAUAAAAAUGUAGGCUUUUCCAGAUUUUGUUCUUGGAUAUGGACCUAAGAAGUCGAUAUAAAUCUUCUGAAAAGGCCUUUGGGUUAUAACUUCAUUACCCAUCGGUGGUCUUAAUAUCUGUUUAGGGUGUUUAUUUUCUUUACAAAUUUCACAAUUGUUAAUAUAUUGUUUAAUUUCAUAAGCCAUCGUUGGCCAAUAGAAAUAUUGCCUGAUAUCAUACAAUGUCUUCGAUAUACCAGCAUGACAAGUGUUGUUGUUAUGAGAUUUUGCUAUUAUUUCUGUUGUUAAAUUAUCUGGAAGCCAUAUCUUCCAACAGUCGUCUUCACUUUCAACAUCUAUUCUAUUAAAUUUUACCCUUUUGUACACGAUUCCAUCGCACACUUUUAGGUCAGGUAGACGGUUUCUGUUUUGCUCAAUGGUAUCAAUAAGACUUAAAUAUGUUGGAUUUUUGAACUCAUUUGAAUUGAAAUCAAUAAAUGGAGUAUUUUCCACGGUGAUUUCAUCCAUGUCCAUACGUGAUAGCAUAU
rnacentral:sRNA from 1 species